GGAGCCAUAUGGGCAUGAAAUUGAUAUAUCAUCAAGAAACUAUACAGAGAUCAGGCUAGCUUUCAAGAAUCAAGAAGAAAAGAAAGAGAAGCAAAGAUGAAGAAUAAUGGGUCCUUGCCUUCUCAAUACCCCAACUCCAAAACCUUUGAAGCAAGAGAAGAUGCUCGCAGUUUCAAGGAAGAGAGAGCUCCUGUUACAGAGAAAAAACCACCAGAAAAGCUAGAGAGCAAGCCAUCCAUGGAC
rnacentral:misc_RNA from 1 species